rnacentral:rRNA from 1 species
AUAUGCCUUUUGGUGGGGGACAACAGUUGGAAACGACUGCUAAUACCGCAUGAUGUCUACGGACCAAAGUGGGGGACCUUCGGGCCUCACGCCAAAAGAUUAGCCCAAGUGGGAUUAGCUAGUUGGUAAGGUAAUGGCUUACCAAGGCAACGAUCCCUAGCUGGUUUGAGAGGAUGAUCAGCCACACUGGGACUGAGACACGGCCCAGACUCCUACGGGAGGCAGCAGUGGGGAAUAUUGCACAAUGGGCGCAAGCCUGAUGCAGCCAUGCCGCGUGUGUGAAGAAGGCCUUCGGGUUGUAAAGCACUUUCAGUAAGGAGGAAAGGUUAAGUUUUAAUAGAACUUAGCUGUGACGUUACUUACAGAAGAAGCACCGGCUAACUCCGUGCCAGCAGCCGCGGUAAUACGGAGGGUGCGAGCGUUAAUCGGAAUUACUGGGCGUAAAGCGUACGCAGGCGGUUUGUUAAGCGAGAUGUGAAAGCCCCGGGCUCAACCUGGGAACUGCAUUUCGAACUGGCAAACUAGAGUGUGAUAGAGGGUGGUAGAAUUUCAGGUGUAGCGGUGAAAUGCGUAGAGAUCUGAAGGAAUACCCGAUGGCGAAGGCAGCCACCUGGGUCAACACUGACGCUCAUGUACGAAAGCGUGGGGAGCAAACAG